GUUAAUGAUGGGCUAACUAAGGUUACAUAUAUGUAACCAUGGUUACAUGCUUGUGACUCUUGAGUUAUGUAACUCUUGUGACUCUUGGGUUAUGUAACACUUUUGUUAUAAAGUGGGGGUUAUGGUUCCCACAUUAUUGCAAGACAUAAUAUCUUCUUCCUCCCAUUGAAUCAAGAGAAACUCCAUUGUUGUCUUGCAAAUUCUUGUGGAAAACCAUACACCAACUUUGGUUAUUGUCAUAUUAUUAUU
rnacentral:lncRNA from 1 species